AGCGAACGCUGGCGGCAGGCCUAACACAUGCAAGUCGAACGAACCUUUCGGGGUUAGUGGCGGACGGGUGAGUAACACGUGGGAACGUGCCUUUAGGUUCGGAAUAACUCAGGGAAACUUGUGCUAAUACCGAAUGUGCCCUUCGGGGGAAAGAUUUAUCGCCUUUAGAGCGGCCCGCGUCUGAUUAGCUAGUUGGUUGAGGUAAUGGCUCACCAAGGCGACGAUCAGUAGCUGGUCUGAGAGGAGGAUCAGCCACAUUGGGACUGAGACACGGCCCAAACUCCUACGGGAGGCAGCAGUGGGGAAUCUUGCGCAAUGGGCGAAAGCCUGACGCAGCCAUGCCGCGUGAAUGAUGAAGGUCUUAGGAUUGUAAAAUUCUUUCACCGGGGACGAUAAUGACGGUACCCGGAGAAGAAGCCCCGGCUAACUUCGUG
rnacentral:rRNA from 1 species